ACGAACGCUGGCGGCGUGCUUAACACAUGCAAGUCGAACGGUGAAGCGCCUUCCUUUUUGGUGGGUGUGGAUGAGUGGCGAACGGGUGAGUAACACGUGAGUAACCUGCCCCCUUCUUCUGGAUAACCGCAUGAAAGUGUGGCUAAUACGGGAUAUUCUGGGUCUGUCGCAUGAUGGGUCUGGGAAAGAUAUUGUUUCGGUGGGGGAUGGGCUCGCGGCCUAUCAGCUUGUUGGUGGGGUGAUGGCCUACCAAGGCGGUGACGGGUAGCCGGCCUGAGAGGGUGGACGGUCACACUGGGACUGAGACACGGCCCAGACUCCUACGGGAGGCAGCAGUGGGGAAUAUUGCACAAUGGGCGCAAGCCUGAUGCAGCGACGCCGCGUGAGGGAUGGAGGCCUUCGGGUUGUGAACCUCUUUCGCCAGUGAAGCAGGCCUGCCUCGUUUGUGGGUGGGUUGACGGUAGCUGGAUAAGAAGCGCCGGCUAGCUACGUG
rnacentral:rRNA from 1 species